GACGAACGCUGGCGGCGUGCCUAAUACAUGCAAGUUGAGCGCUGAAGGUUGGUACUUUUAUCAACUGGAUGAGCAGCGAAGGGGUGUGUAACGCGUGGGUAAUCUGCCUUUGAGCGGGGGACAACAUUCGGAAACGAAUGCUAAUACCGCAUAAAAACUUUAAACACAAGCUUUAAGUUUGAAAUAAGCAAUUGCAUCACUCAAAGAUGAUCCCGCGUUGUAUUGGCUAGUUGGUGAGGUAAAGGCUCACCAAGGCGAUGAUAAAUAGACGACCUGAGAGGGUGCUCGGCCAAGUGGGGUCUGGGACACGGCCCAAACUCCUACGGGAGGCAGCAGUAGGGAUGCCUCGGCAAUGGAAGAAAGUCUGACCGAACCACGCCGCGUGAGUGCAGAAGGUUUUCGGAGCGUAAAACUCUGUUGGUAGAGAAGAAAGUUGGUGAGAGUGGAAAGCUCAUCAAGUGACGGUAACUACCCAGAAAGGUACGGCUAACUACGUG
rnacentral:rRNA from 1 species